GGCUCAGGAUGAACGCUGGCGGCGUGCUUAACACAUGCAAGUCGAACGAAGCGCAUUGUUUGAAUUCUUCGGAAGGAAGAUAAUGUGACUGAGUGGCGGACGGGUGAGUAACGCGUGGGUAACCUGCCAUGUACAGGGGGACAACAGUUGGAAACGGCUGCUAAUACCGCAUAAGCGCACGAGAUUGCAUGAUCUAGUGUGAAAAACUCCGGUGGUAUAUGAUGGACCCGCGUCUGAUUAGCUAGUUGGUAAGGUAACGGCUUACCAAGGCGACGAUCAGUAGCCGACCUGAGAGGGUGACCGGCCACAUUGGGACUGAGACACGGCCCAGACUCCUACGGGAGGCAGCAGUGGGGAAUAUUGCACAAUGGGCGAAAGCCUGAUGCAGCGACGCCGCGUGAACGAAGAAGUAUUUCGGUAUGUAAAGUUCUAUCAGCAGGGAAGAAGAAAUGACGGUACCUGACUAAGAAGCCCCGGCUAACUACGUGCCAGCAGCCGCGGUAAUACGUAGGGGGCAAGCGUUAUCCGGAUUUACUGGGUGUAAAGGGAGCGCAGGCGGCCCGGCAAGUCUGAUGUGAAAACCCAAGGCUCAACCAUGGGAUUGCAUUGGAAACUGUCGAGCUAGAGUAUCGGAGGGGUAAGUGGAAUUCCUAGUGUAGCGGUGAAAUGCGUAGAUAUUAGGAGGAACACCAGUGGCGAAGGCGGC
rnacentral:rRNA from 1 species